GACGGAAGGUGCAAGCGUUGCUCGGAAUCACUGGGCGUAAAGGGCGCGUAGGCGGGGAGGUAAGUCGGGUGUGAAAUCCCUCGGCCCAACCGAGGAACUGCGCCCGAGACUGCUUCUCUUGAGUCCCGGAGAGGAAGAUGGAAUUCCCGGUGUAGCGGUGAAAUGUGUAGAGAUCGGGAGGAACACCGGUGGCGAAGGCGGUCUUCUGGACGGUGACUGACGCUGAGGCGCGAAAGCGUGGGGAGCAAACGGG
rnacentral:rRNA from 1 species